rnacentral:rRNA from 1 species
UACGUAGGGUGCAAGCGUUAAUCGGAAUUACUGGGCGUAAAGCGUGCGCAGGCGGUUCGCUAAGACAGAUGUGAAAUCCCCGGGCUUAACCUGGGAACUGCAUUUGUGACUGGCGGGCUAGAGUAUGGCAGAGGGGGGGUAGAAUUCCACGUGUAGCAGUGAAAUGCGUAGAGAUGUGGAGGAAUACCGAUGGCGAAGGCAGCCCCCUGGGGCCCAAUACUGACGCUCAUGCACGAAAGCGUGGGGAGCAAAC